AUUGAACGCUGGCGGCAUGCCUUACACAUGCAAGUCGAACGGCAGCGGGGGAGAAGCUUGCUUUUCCUGCCGGCGAGUGGCGAACGGGUGAGUAAUACAUCGGAACGUGCCCUGUAGUGGGGGAUAACGAAGCGAAAGCUUUGCUAAUACCGCAUAAGAUCUAUGGAUGAGAGCAGGGGACCGCAAGGCCUUGCGCGACCGGAGCGGCCGAUGGCAGAUUAGGUAGUUGGAGGGAUAAAAGCUUACCAAGCCGACGAUCUGUAGCUGGUCUGAGAGGACGACCAGCCACACUGGGACGGAGACACGGCCCAGACUCCUACGGGAGGCAGCAGUGGGGAAGUUUGGACAAUGGGCGAAAGCCUGAUCCAGCCAUGCCGCGUGCAGGAUGAAGGCCUUCGGGUUGUAAACUGCUUUUGUACGGAACGAAAAGACUCUUUCUAAUAAAGAGAGUCCAUGACGGUACCGUAAGAAUAAGCACCGGCUAACUAUGUGCCAGCCGCCGCCGUAA
rnacentral:rRNA from 1 species